GUCCGUGAUUAUACAAAUGUGGUAACGCCUUGUCCCAUCCCGAACCAAGAAGCUAAGCACAUUGUG
rnacentral:rRNA from 1 species